GAGAAUGGGGCCUCAUUGGGGGGGGGUAAACUCCCCCUGGGGGUGGGCCCAGGUUGGGGGGGUUAGAGCCCCUGGCUGGGGCUGGGGCCGGGGUCAGGGUGGCUAACCCAUGUGACUAACCUGGAUCCUGAAUUGGGCAGUGAGAAAGAUUUUAAAAAGAAAUCGUAGGUGCCGCUUGGAACCGUGGCCGUUAAAAUCCUUUCAGCCAGAAGAGUGGCUCUUUCCCUCAGCACCAGGACUUUACCGUCUCUCGCUUCCGACAAAGCCUUGAGCCCGUUCUGUGUCAGGGUAUCUGAAACCUCUACAUGCGAUGGGGAGGGGCUGACCCCCAGGACUUGGGAAGAUUCAUUACUGGCGAAUAAUAUCAGGGGGUAGCCGUGUUAGUCUGUAGCCACAAAAACAACAAGGAGUCUGGUGGCACCUUAAAGACUAUCAGAUUUAUUUAGGCACAAGCUCUCAUGGGUAAAAAACCCACUUCUUCAGAUGCAUCCACCCACUAUGAAUGGAUUUGGAGACUCAGCAAGAGGCAUAGACCCUUCUGCGGGGCCUGGGGACCUAUGGAAUCAUCGGUGUUAGAGGGACAUCAUGAAGCCUAUACUCUGCUUCUAGCCAGUACUGGGUUAAAUUCGUUCUCCAUGUGAUAGGAAAUGUCAGGACAUGAGACACAAUCCGGCCUCUGCCACAGGAUGUGCCACAGAGUACAUGGAACCCUCCCUGAAGGUGGGAGAGGCUGUACCAAGGUGGAAAGAACUCCACAGAGGAGGUUAAAGGGGAAAGAGCUAGUUCGCAUGAAUUAGCUGCAGAAAACACAGGCAGCUUUUUGCCAGAGCCUGUUGAGCAGGCAGUUUCAGAAGAGGCCUGCACUGAGUUGCUGUGGCUGCCUUUGCCCAGAUGCUGCUUCCUUGUUUAGAGUUCUCCUCCCCGCUUUCUGCAGCCAUCUCUGCACUAGAAUAGGAUAGAACAAGAAACCCACAAGUUAUGGCCUAAAAAUUCAUGUGUUGAGGCAGGCACCGGGAAUGUGCAAACUAUCCUAUUGAGUGGCAAAGUCAAGGGAUUGGAAUCUGGCUAGGAACCAAGAGCUUUAGAGGAUGGGUUAGAGCAGAGGAUCGUGAGUCUGGACUCUCAAGUUCUAUUCCUGGUUCCUCACUGCUUGAGUUUGGGCAAGUCACUUCACUUCUUUGCCUCAGUUUCCUCACCAGAGAGAGAGCAGGAAUGGACUUUGUCCAGGGCUGCGAGGGUCAGUUGGUAAAGUGCUGCCCAGGCUUCCUAAAUCUAGAUCUGCAAAGCCAGGUGGAGAAUCUCCUGAGAAAUUGACUCGUGGUUUUUCAGCAUUCGGGUUCCUGCCUCUGCCUGAAACUGGAAAUGAGGCCAUUUCUCCUGACCUUUUGGAAACUGAACAAGAUCCCAAACUAUCAGGGAAAAAGAGCAGGGAGUUGCCUCCCCUCCUGUGCCUGCUGCUAAUGAGAGAUGGUCGGUGUCAGAAAGCUGCCCUGGGAUGGGGACUCCAUGGCAGCAGAAGCCCAAGUGAUUGUUUCUUUCUCUGCAAGCCUUGUAGCUGGAAAGAUUUGUGUGUUCACAGCCGGGCCCUGCUGCUGCCACUACCAAGCUGCUACUAGCCCACACCUGAUUCACAGUGACUCUUUCCUUGCUGGUCUGCCCGGGGUCUUACUGGUCUAGAGAUCAGAGCCUGGGGCUGGAUUUGAGAUUCUGUCUGGGCCUGGGCAAGACCCUUCAUCUCUUUGUGCCUCGGGUUUCUUACCUGUCCAAUGGGGUUAAGAAUAACUUGCCUUCUUCAAGGGGGGACGGGCAUGAGGCCGGCUUCCUUCGUGGGGGUAUAGGGCUUCCAGCAGGGAAGGAGCUGAAUGUUAUUUCCUUUAUUAUUCCUGGUGAAGGGCAGCUGUGAGGGUCCCAUGGCAAUUAACAAAACAAACAAAGGCCCAGCUCAGCGGAUGCUGAUUUCCAGCUGGUGCCUGCAAUCUUUCAGGAGCACACACACCACAGCGCCUGCUCAGCCGCCCCAGUGUGCUCUUUACAGACAGGCUCUUGUUCUAAGUGCAGCUUCAGGGAGUUUUGCUCAGAGCUGACACCUGUUUCAUUUAUUUGCCCAGUUGAGCCUCAGGCCUUACAAUUCAGCCAAUGAAAACCCAGUUAUGAACACUUAGGGCUCAAUCCUCAGCCAAUGGAAAGUCUGGCAGUGGCUGCGGUGGACUUGGAUUGGGCCCACUGGCGCUAUGCUGCCCAGCCUGCUUUGGAAAGAUAUUACAGAUAACUGCAUCGCAGCCAGCUAACCAAGCACCACCUGUCCCCAUCCCUGGGGGGCCAGUGCACUGGGCCCUUCCUAGUGACAACUGAACAUGCAGGGGACUUGCGGGCUGGCCUUGUGCAGAAGCAGAGGACAAGUUGUGGGAGAAGAUCCCUGGUUUGAUUGUGAACCCUGCACUACCCCAGAUGCUGCUCCGCCCCCUGGAGCCAAUGCAUGGGUUGUUCCCCUCCCAUCACUGGCAGGGUCCCUCUGGGCUUGACAUACGGCCUGAUCCCUGAUAUUUACAAGUGGAAGGAAAGUCUGAGGCUUUCCACACUCUCAGGCUUCUUGGAGCAUUGCAGGGCUUGCCAGCGCGGCCUGUGGGUUUUUCCACCUGCAGAUGGGAUCGUUUUAAUUCCAUGAUCCAUCAGCCUCAGGACUGGCUUGGUGACGUAGUGCUAACGCAAGGCCUCAGAUGUCUUUAUGUGUGAAUUUGUGAUGGCAAGAACUCGCCUCCCAGCCUCCAUCCCAAGAGCCACCCUAACACCUGAUGUGUCCUCUGUUGGAACAGAUCUAACAGGAUGGCUCGGGCAUGGAGGAGGGUCCUGAGGUACACGCCAAGAGUCAAUUCCCUACUCUGCCACUGACUCCCUGUGUGACCCAGGGCAAGUCACCAGCCUCUCUGGGCCUCACUUCCCCAGCCCUUGUGUGUCUCUGGGCCUGUGCAGCACCUGGCACAAUGGGGCCCCGAACACAGUUGCAGCCUCUAGGUGCUGUUGUAAUACAAUUAAUAGUGAGUCAUUUGCAGUCCCAUUAAAAAGCAUCGCUUCUGGGUGUAGGGCAGCCUGUGUGGUUGGGCUGGAUGCAGCGCAAAGGUCUAAUAAAAUUCAUGUUUUUGCCCCAUGGCUGCAGCAGUGUUAACAGGCCACUUCACCUUGGAUGGUCCCUUCGAACGUGUGUGAACUCCUCCUGCGAGUAAUCCGGUCCACCCUGUACUGAGCUGUGAUGCUCCGAGUUCCUUUCCCAGGCCUGUAAGCUCAGAGCUUGUCUCUCUCACCAACAGAAGCUGGUCCAAUAAAAGACAUUACCUCCCCCAC